rnacentral:rRNA from 4 species
GAUGCGACCUCAGCUCAGGCGGGGCUACCCGCUGAGUUUAAGCAUAUCAAUAAGCGGAGGAAAAGAA